UACGUAUAUUAGUAUCCCCAUUUUACAGAUGAGGAAAUAGUCUCACGUUACUUGAGUUGUCCAAGGUCACGCUACUAAAGUACUGGAAAGGUUGCCGUGACCUCCUAGGAAGCCGGGCGCUAGGCUGUGAGGGUCCAGCCUCCACCAACAGCUACCUAUUCCCGCCCCCCAACCCCUGCUGGGGUAUGGGGUUGGUAGCAUCUUGGUCGCUUAGCAAAAAAGAGGAAUUUCAAUUCUUCAUUUCCCCAGGAAUCUGAAUAAUUACUGUUUUCUCCUUUCGCUUAGUCCCUAUCUUUAUCUUUCUAUUCUCCGCAGCCCCUCCCCAUCCCCAAUCCAUCCAACCUCCUUCGACCUUUCAAGUUUUCUCCUUUCAGUCUCUACAGACUCCAUCCUACGGCUCCCCUGGGAUCCCGGCUGCCAUGGUGGAAGGUGGGACAGCUUCUUGCCAUCCUAAACCAAACCGUUGAGAAUAUCUGAAGCAGAAAAACACCAACAAGAUGUAAAAUGUCCACCCAGAUAGGUAAUCUGCUGGAGAUAGAGGACAGGGCGAGGUGAGGCAUGGGGUAAGUAAACCGAAAAAUAAAGAUAUUUGCCUUGAGAAUGGAGUUGGCAGUGGGAGGUGGUAUCCCAUCCUCUAGGAUAGAAGUAAAGAUCAGGAGAAGGGGCAGCCAGGAAGGCAUAUGUGGUUGGGUGUAAAAAUGCUCUGAGAACUAGGGAAAUAUAUUUUGAGGUGUGGAGGGAAGGAGUUCUCCAGGACUACAGGCCUGGAGGUCCAGCGUUUUGGGAUUGGGGGGCCAGCCGCCUCCUAUCAGGGAAGCUGUGACCCCAAGUGAGUAUACCUGCUGCGCCCACCUCUUAACUUGUGGCCCCCCACUGCUUCCACUGCUUCCCUCGAAGUACCAGCCGCCCAGGAAACCGCUGGGGGCGCCCAGACCGCAGCCCCCCCAGCCGCCGCCACCCCAGCGCUCCCACUGCGACCGCCCAACCCACCUGAAGGGGCCGCGGCUGCCGGGGGGGCACCCUCCCCUUUCCCUGGUCUCCCCCCACUAGCAUCUGCGGGCGGCUCUAUUUAUAACUCCGGUGACUAUUCCGAGCCUCGGGUGCGCAGCAGUCUACUCCAGCGCUCUAAUCUCCGCUGGGAUCUUUGCGCCCCCCAGGGCCUAGGCAGGUAAAUUUAAAUUUAGCCCCAGGAAGCUCUGGGGAGUAAGUUUCCAAAACUACAGGGGGGUGGGGGAGGCGGGUGGUGAAAAUAGACCCCGCCCCACUCCUGACUCCUUCCCCCCUCCGCUGGACUGCAGGGGGCGCUGGUCGGGAGGGAGGAGAAAUCAGUUGUAUUGGGGUAGUUUGCCCCUGGAGACCUGUAUUUGUAGAGUUGUAGAUAGGAGCUGUGAAUUGAGGGCGAGAGCCUGGGGGAAAAGGCAGGGGUUUGAGGGAUUGGUCAAGGAGGGAAGAGGGAAGGAAUCUGGGAGAAUUCGAGAAGGGCAGUGGGACCUGGGGUGGGAGACCACCACAGAAAAGAAGGACCCUGUGAGGGAAGAGAGGGGGAAUUUUUUCAUACAGAAAGGAAAUGACUCAGAUGCAACUAAGAUGCAAAUAUAUGCCUUCCCCCCCCCCAAAAAAAAAGCUGGUGCUGAGUCCAACUGCUCUAUGCCCACCAGUGACCCCUUCCCGACCUCGCAAUCAGGAAGAUGCUGGAUACCAAGGGUCUGGUUUUUGGUUUUUGUUCUUUUCUUAAACUGUGAUAUCCCAUUUAUUUACGCGAUAAAGUAAUACCUUUCCUCCUCCCAAUCCAGGGGUCCAAGACUCCACCAUGGGGCCCCUAGUGGAGUGGCUGUGAAGCCCCGGCUUCCGCUCCAUUUUUCCUCUUCCCAGGGGAUUCCUAGGGGUCCCUUUCGGGUCUGGUCCCCUCUCUCUCCGCGUCUAGCUUCCAAUUUCCGGGGUUGCUUCAGUUCCCCUGGAAGCCGCUAGAUGUCCGCGCUGCUCCAAACGCCGACUCGGAAAGCCCCCUCUGCCUCCCGGGGAAGCCCCUUCGAGUCCCCAGGACCCCUGCUCAAAGCGCACCCCAGUGUCUCCUUUCCCUUCAGUCAUACAGAGCAUAGAAUCUGGCACUGCCCGCUAGGGCACUGGGUGGGAGAAAUAUAGGCAACAUUCACUUCUUAAUCACCCCCCCCCCAAGUCCAAAACACAAAUAACUACCGUACCGUUGGUGGGCAGGGCAUUAAUCUUGCUCACUCAAGGCUAAAGCCUUCAUUGUGAUAAACGAAACCUGGCUUCAUAAAAUAGCUAGCGGUCACGGAGAGCAGAAUUUUCUGGCAUUCUAUAUGUGUUUUUGAAAAGUUAUGUUAAAGAAUCCCUCAUAGUGUUUCCUAGGUGGGCUGAAACCUUGUCUAUCAUUAGCCUUCAUCUGCCCCAACUCUGCGACCUAAACAGCCUUCCUCUACCCUGAGGAUCCUACCUGGGACAGCUCAGACUGGAACCUUGUGAACGAAGAAGGGAAACGCGGUUUGUGGAGAGUGGGUGGACGGUACUUAUGUAAAACACACUCCCCAGAGCGGCAGAACCAGAUUAAAACUGGGAAAUAUUUAACAAAAUAAAUAAAAAUACAAUAAAACAUAGAUAACAGUACAUUGUAAACUAAGGAAAUAGGUAUCUUUAGGUAAGGAUUAGCAGCCCGUGUUUCUAUUUGAGUUUAACCCCACUGCCUUAUACCAGCUAGAAUAUUAGAGGGUAAAAGAAGGGGUGCGGGGUUGCCUUCCUCUCCACUUUCCACCUGUACUCGUGGGAACCUGGAGGUGGCAGAAAGGGGAGUAGUGAAGAGAAAACCAACUCACUCCCCUACUAAGCUGGGGAGGCAGGUAGAAGGUUUUAUUGCUCACACCAGGCUCAUCAAGAAAAAAGAAAAGAGAAUAUAUUUGGUGUGAGUACAAUGAGACAAGGGAAUGGAAGUGGGGGAAAAGAAAGACGCUGCUAAUUCUUAACGUAUCCCCUCCAGCUGCCAGGUCUCACCCUCCCAAGUGUCUAUCUGGCUUCCCCUAGC